UUUUGCUUUUUCAAUAAAUAGGUAAUUGAAAUUACUCAAGCGAAUUCAAAUGUUUACCGUUUGAUUCAUUUCACAGAUUAAUUUCAUGCUCUGCACAAAAUUCUAUAUUGAAGUAUUGCCAAUGCAUACAUUUGAAGAAGUUUAAAUAGCGGUGGAUAGCCUAGAUGGGCAUGUAACUUAUCUCUUAACAGCAGUUAUAUUAGCUUUAACUUGCUAAUAUAAAUUAUAGUAAUGACGUGCAAAAUAUUUAUAUAUUUUGCAAUUGCGAGUUAUAGCGUUGUAUGUGCUGCAACAAUACGAUCAAUGGACCAAAACAAAAUAUAUGCUCCUAAAGAGUGGAAACUUCGAGAAGGCCACAAGUACUGGCGUAUGUCAAAAAAUCAAAAGCGGGCCGAUAUUAACCUGAUGGCUCGCCAACUGCAUCCCUGGCUUAUGAAAAUGAACACUGCUGUCAAGAAUCCAGAAGAUGGAGGA